CAAGGAAUUUUCCGCAAUGGGCGCAAGCCUGACGGAGCGACGCCGCGUGGAGGAUGACGCCCUUCGGGGUGUAAACUCCUUUUCGGGGGGACGAAGGCAGUGACGGUACCCCCGGAAGAAGCACCGGCUAACUACGUGCCAGCAGCCGCGGUAAGACGUAGGGUGCGAGCGUUGUCCGGAGUUACUGGGCGUAAAGGGCGCGUAGGCGGCUGCCCGCGUCGCACGUGAAAGCCCCCGGCUCAACCGGGGAGGGUCGUGCGAGACGGGGUGGCUAGAGGCAGGGAGAGGCUGGUGGAAUUCCCGGUGUAGCGGUGAAAUGCGUAGAGAUCGGGAGGAACACCGGUGGCGAAGGCGGCCAGCUGGCCCUGACCUGACGCUGAGGCGCGAAGGCGCGGGGAGCGAACG
rnacentral:rRNA from 1 species